rnacentral:rRNA from 1 species
UGGGGAAUUUUGCACAAUGGGGGAAACCCUGAUGCAGCGACGCCGCGUGAUUUAGAAGGCCUUCGGGUUGUAAAAUUCUUUUCUAUGGGAAGAAAAUGACAGUACCAUAGGAAUAAGGACCGGCUAAUUACGUGCCAGCAGCCGCGGUAAUACGUAAGGUCCGAGCGUUGUCCGGAAUCAUUGGGCGUAAAGGGUACGUAGGCGGGUAAGCAAGUUAGAAGUGAAAUCCUAUAGCUCAACUAUAGUAAGCUUUUAAAACUGCUCAUCUUGAGGUAUGGAAGGGAAAGUGGAAUUCCUAGUGUAGCGGUGAAAUGCGCAGAUAUUAGGAGGAAUACCGGUGGCGAAGGCGACUUUCUGGCCAUAACCUGACGCUGAGGUACGAAAGCGUGGGUAGCAAACAGG